rnacentral:rRNA from 1 species
AUUGAACGCUGGCGGCUGUCUUAACACAUGCAAGUCGAGCGAGCGGCGGACGGGUGAGUAAUGUCUGGGAAACCGCCUGAUGGAGGGGGAUAACUACUGGAAACGGUAGCUACUACCGCUUCCCAUCAGUUGUGUUCAGAUGGGCUUAGCUAUUAGGUGGGUUAAUGGGUCACCUAGGUGACGAUCCCUAGCUGGUCUGAGAGGUUGACCAGCCACAGUGGAACUGCGAACCGGUCCAGAUUCCGACGAGAGGCAGCAGGGGGGAGUAGUGCACAAUAGGCGGAAGCCGGAUGCAGCAAUGCCGCGUGUGUGAAGAAGGCCUUCGGGUUGUAAAGCACUUUCAGCGAGGAGGCCUUACUCGCAGAAGAUGCACCGACUAACUCCGUGCCAGACGCCGCGGUAAUAC